AAAUUGAAGAGUUUGAUCAUGGCUCAGAUUGAACGCUGGCGGCAGGCCUAACACAUGCAAGUCGAACGGUAACAGGAAUCAGCUUGCUGAUUCGCUGACGAGUGGCGGACGGGUGAGUAAUGUCUGGGAAACUGCCUGAUGGAGGGGAAUAACUACUGGAAACGGUAGCUAAUACCGCAUAACGUCGCAAGACCAAAGAGGGGGACCUUCGGGCCUCUUGCCAUCAGAUGUGCCCAGAUGGGAUUAGCUAGUAGGUGGGGUAACGGCUCACCUAGGCGACGAUCCCUAGCUGGUCUGAGAGGAUGACCAGCCACACUGGAACUGAGACACGGUCCAGACUCCUACGGGAGGCA
rnacentral:rRNA from 1 species